GGGUUGUGAGGUUAAGCGACUAAGCGUACACGGUGGAUGCCCUGGCAGUCAGAGGCGAUGAAGGACGUGCUAAUCUGCGAUAAGCGUCGGUAAGGUGAUAUGAACCGUUAUAACCGGCGAUUUCCGAAUGGGGAAACCCAGUGUGUUUCGACACACUAUCAUUAACUGAAUCCAUAGGUUAAUGAGGCGAACCGGGGGAACUGAAACAUCUAAGUACCCCGAGGAAAAGAAAUCAACCGAGAUUCCCCCAGUAGCGGCGAGCGAACGGGGAGCAGCCCAGAGCCUGAAUCAGUGUGUGUGUUAGUGGAAGCGUCUGGAAAGGCGCGCGAUACAGGGUGACAGCCCCGUACACAAAAAUGCACAUGCUGUGAGCUCGAUGAGUAGGGCGGGACACGUGGUAUCCUGUCUGAAUAUGGGGGGACCAUCCUCCAAGGCUAAAUACUCCUGACUGACCGAUAGUGAACCAGUACCGUGAGGGAAAGGCGAAAAGAACCCCGGCGAGGGGAGUGAAAAAGAACCUGAAACCGUGUACGUACAAGCAGUGGGAGCACGCUUAGGCGUGUGACUGCGUACCUUUUGUAUAAUGGGUCAGCGACUUAUAUUCUGUAGCAAGGUUAACCGAAUAGGGGAGCCGAAGGGAAACCGAGUCUUAACUGGGCGUUAAGUUGCAGGGUAUAGACCCGAAACCCGGUGAUCUAGCCAUGGGCAGGUUGAAGGUUGGGUAACACUAACUGGAGGACCGAACCGACUAAUGUUGAAAAAUUAGCGGAUGACUUGUGGCUGGGGGUGAAAGGCCAAUCAAACCGGGAGAUAGCUGGUUCUCCCCGAAAGCUAUUUAGGUAGCGCCUCGUGAAUUCAUCUCCGGGGGUAGAGCACUGUUUCGGCAAGGGGGUCAUCCCGACUUACCAACCCGAUGCAAACUG
rnacentral:rRNA from 1 species